CUUAGAACAAUCUUGUGUUCACCAAACUUAUCUUGACUUAAAUGUAUUCAUUGAUAUGCCCACUUUUGCAUAUCUUGGCGUUAACUCUACCAUUGGCGGUCCUCAGUCCGUAUGAAAAAGAAGGAAGGGUGCUUUAACGACAUUAUUAUUUUUUUGUAAUUUUCAAGUAUUGAAAAUUAAUCAUGCUUCUUUUGGUUUAUUAUAAUUGAAAGUCAUGUAUUUUUCUUUUAAAUUGAUUUUUAAUCGUAAUACUAUCUUUAAUGUGUUUUUUUAUUUUUUAUUUUCUAGGUUAUAUUAUCAUUGCUGAAGUUGUAGCCAGUGUUUAUAAUGCACAGGACUAGGACAUGUAGUGUGAAUUGGAAAGUGGAAACAAAUACCUAAUUCAGACAUUUAAAGUAAUUAUGGAAAUUGGAUUGAUUAAUCUUUUGACAUUGAAAUACGUUUUAUGAUAAAUAUUACCUAGUAAACAUUUCAGAUUUAUAAGAUGUCAAGUUUAGGUCUAUAUAUCUACAGAAUUCUAUGUGGAAGUCUUAUGUGUCUAUAGAUUCUAUAGAAUCUAUUUUAAGCAAGACAAAUUUGCCGAAGUAUAAAAGAAUAAAAGACCUAUGAAUGAUAGAACCACAGUAAAAGACCAAAAACGUGAUAAAAGAAGGAAAUGUAUUAGUCAAUGUUUUAGAGUUUCCUUUAUUUGAUGAUAUGUGUAAAAUCCUUAUUUCUGAUUUAUGGCGCUAUUUUCAUUAAGAUGUUCAUAAGACUAUAAGAAUAAAAUCAAACCAAAUAUUGAAGAGCCUGAAAAUAUCAAUCCAUUUAUGCAAUAUUCACAAUCAGGAAACCAUUGGAGUGUUAAAGGAAGGAAAUCUACUAGCCACUAUUUAAGGGAUUCUGAGUUACCUAGUUUUGAUGUUCCAAAAUCUCACUCUUUCUUAAAAUUUUUACCAUCUACAGAUAUUUUUAAUUUCUAAUUGUUAAUAAAAGCAAUUUUUUUUAUAGAUGAUCAGUUUUCACCUCUAAUAUUUGCCUCAUCAUCAAAUUCCCCAUCAUAUCCAAUUCUAUCAAACCACCGUGAUGAAUCAAACAAUUUAGAAAGUUUCAAGAACAUAGGAAAACCAAUGAUUUACUCAAUAAAUUGUUGAUAACCAGAUCAGAAGAUGAUGUUUCGAUACCACAAAAUUUCAACAGAGAACAUUUACUAUUACUUUUGCUUACUUGCUUACUGUUCCUUUAAAUGACAUUCAACAUUUAGCAAAAUCAUUAAAACUAGCUGCAUCAAGACAUUAA